rnacentral:rRNA from 1 species
GGGGGGUCUCGCGAAACUGGCGGGCUUGAGGGCAGGAGAGGGAAGCGGAAUUCCCGGUGUAGCGGUGAAAUCCGUAGAUAUCGGGAGGAACACCAGUGGCGAAGGCGGCUUUCUGGACUGCAACUGACGCUGAGGCGCGAAAGCUAGGGGAGCGAACGGGAUUAGAUACCCCGGUAGUCCUAGCCGUAAACGAUGGGUACUAGGUGUGGGAGGUAUCGACCCCUUCCGUGCCGGAGUUAACGCAAUAAGUACCCCGCCUGGGGAGUACGGCCGCAAGGUUGAAACUCAAAGGAAUUGACGGGGGCCCGCACAAGCAGCGGAGCAUGUGGUUUAAUUCGACGCAACGCGCAGAACCUUACCAGGGGCUUGACAUCCCUUGAAAGUUGGCAGAGAUGCAAUUUCCAUGGUAGCAAUACCAUGGCAAGGAGACAGGUGGUGCAUGGUUGUCGUCAGCUCGUGUCGUGAGAUGUUGGGUUAAGUCCCGCAACGAGCGCAACCCUUGUGCUGUGUUGCCAGCGAGAGAGACGGGCACUCACAGCAGACUGCCGGGGACAACUCGGAGGAAGGUGGGGAUGACGUCAAAUCAUCAUGCCCCUUAUGUCCUGGGCCACACACGUGCUACAAUGGCCGGAACAGACGGCAGCGAACCCGUGAGGGGGAGCUAAUCCGAGAAAUCCGGUCUCAGUUCAGAUUGCAGGCUGCAACUCGCCUGCAUGAAGACGGAGUUGCUAGUAAUCGCGGAUCAGCACGCCGCGGUGAUACGUUCCUGGGCCUUGUACACACCGCCCGUCACACCACGAGAGCUGACAACACCCGAAGCCGGUGGGCUAACCCGC